rnacentral:rRNA from 3 species
AGAGUUUGAUCAUGGCUCAGAUUGAACGCUGGCGGCAGGCCUAACACAUGCAAGUCGAGCGGUAGCACAGAGAGCUUGCUCUCGGGUGACGAGCGGCGGACGGGUGAGUAAUGUCUGGGAAACUGCCUGAUGGAGGGGGAUAACUACUGGAAACGGUAGCUAAUACCGCAUAACGUCGCAAGACCAAAGAGGGGGACCUUCGGGCCUCUUGCCAUCAGAUGUGCCCAGAUGGGAUUAGCUAGUAGGUGGGGUAACGGCUCACCUAGGCGACGAUCCCUAGCUGGUCUGAGAGGAUGACCAGCCACACUGGAACUGAGACACGGUCCAGACUCCUACGGGAGGCAGCAGUGGGGAAUAUUGCACAAUGGGCGCAAGCCUGAUGCAGCCAUGCCGCGUGUAUGAAGAAGGCCUUCGGGUUGUAAAGUACUUUCAGCGGGGAGGAAGGCGAUAAGGUUAAUAACCUUGUCGAUUGACGUUACCCGCAGAAGAAGCACCGGCUAACUCCGUGCCAGCAGCCGCGGUAAUACGGAGGGUGCAAGCGUUAAUCGGAAUUACUGGGCGUAAAGCGCACGCAGGCGGUCUGUCAAGUCGGAUGUGAAAUCCCCGGGCUCAACCUGGGAACUGCAUUCGAAACUGGCAGGCUAGAGUCUUGUAGAGGGGGGUAGAAUUCCAGGUGUAGCGGUGAAAUGCGUAGAGAUCUGGAGGAAUACCGGUGGCGAAGGCGGCCCCCUGGACAAAGACUGACGCUCAGGUGCGAAAGCGUGGGGAGCAAACAGGAUUAGAUACCCUGGUAGUCCACGCCGUAAACGAUGUCGACUUGGAGGUUGUGCCCUUGAGGCGUGGCUUCCGGAGCUAACGCGUUAAGUCGACCGCCUGGGGAGUACGGCCGCAAGGUUAAAACUCAAAUGAAUUGACGGGGGCCCGCACAAGCGGUGGAGCAUGUGGUUUAAUUCGAUGCAACGCGAAGAACCUUACCUACUCUUGACAUCCAGAGAACUUUCCAGAGAUGGAUUGGUGCCUUCGGGAACUCUGAGACAGGUGCUGCAUGGCUGUCGUCAGCUCGUGUUGUGAAAUGUUGGGUUAAGUCCCGCAACGAGCGCAACCCUUAUCCUUUGUUGCCAGCGGUUAGGCCGGGAACUCAAAGGAGACUGCCAGUGAUAAACUGGAGGAAGGUGGGGAUGACGUCAAGUCAUCAUGGCCCUUACGAGUAGGGCUACACACGUGCUACAAUGGCGCAUACAAAGAGAAGCGACCUCGCGAGAGCAAGCGGACCUCAUAAAGUGCGUCGUAGUCCGGAUUGGAGUCUGCAACUCGACUCCAUGAAGUCGGAAUCGCUAGUAAUCGUAGAUCAGAAUGCUACGGUGAAUACGUUCCCGGGCCUUGUACACACCGCCCGUCACACCAUGGGAGUGGGUUGCAAAAGAAGUAGGUAGCUUAACCUUCGGGAGGGCGCUUACCACUUUGUGAUUCAUGACUGGGGUGAAGUCGUAACAAGGUAACCGUAGGGGAACCUGCGGUUGGAUCACCU